rnacentral:rRNA from 1 species
CCUACGGGUGGCAGCAGUGAGGAAUAUUGGUCAAUGGACGGAAGUCUGAACCAGCCAUGCCGCGUGCAGGAAGACGGCUCUAUGAGUUUUAAACUGCUUUUGUACAAGGGUAAACCUGAAUACGUGUAUUCUGCUGAAAGUACUGUACGAAUAAGGCUCGGCUAACUCCGUGCCAGCAGCCGCGGUAAUACGGAGGAUCCAAGCGUUAUCCGGAUUUAUUGGGCUUAAAGGGUGCGUAGGCGGUGUGAUAAGUUAGAGGUGAAAUGUCCGAGCUUAACUCGAGAACUGCCUAUAAUACUAUGGAACUAGAGUGUAGGUGAGGAAGGCGGAAUGUAUGGUGUAGCGGUGAAAUGCUUAGAGAUCAGACAGAACACCGAUUGCGAAGGCAGCUUACCAAUCUAUAUCUGACGUUGAGGCACGAAAGCGUGGGGAGCAAACAGGAUUAGAUACCCUUGUAGUC